rnacentral:rRNA from 1 species
GACGAACGCUGGCGGCGUGCUUAACACAUGCAAGUCGAACGGAAAGGCCCUGCUUUUGUGGGGUGCUCGAGUGGCGAACGGGUGAGUAACACGUGAGUAACCUGCCCUGGACUUUGGGAUAACGUCAGGAAACUGGGGCUAAUACCGGCUAGCAGCUCCUGCUGCAUGGUGGGGGUUGGAAAGUUUCGGCGGGUGGGGAUGGACGCGCGGCUUAUCAGCUUGUUGGUGGGGUAGUGGCUUACCAAGGCUUUGACGGGUAGCCGGCCUGAGAGGGUGACCGGCCACAUUGGGACUGAGAUACGGCCCAGACUCCUACGGGAGGCAGCAGUGGGGAGUAUUGCACAAUGGGCGGAAGCCUGAUGCAGAGACGCCGCGUGCGGGAUGACGGCCUUCGGGUUGUAAACCGCUUCCGCCUGUGACGAAGCGUGAGUGACGGUAAUGUGUAAAGAAGCACCGGCUAACUACGUG